rnacentral:rRNA from 1 species
UUUUAAUUAAAAGCUCUAGGCUUUGCCUAAUAAAGCUAAUAAUUAAAAAGUGGUGUACAGGUGAGUAUAAUAAUAUUUUAUGCCGACCUUAAAGUGAGAUAAAUUCUUCAUAUAAUAAAGGGAUUAAGUAUUCCCGCUUUAAGAGGACGAUAAAUAUUUUCGGGAUAGGUAGUAGUGAAGGUUACGUCUUCACUAGCCUUAACUCUCGUAGUCGAAGCUGAAAGGUUAAUCGACCACAUUGGGUCUGAAAAAAGCCCAAUGCAAGUUAGUACAGCAGUGAGGAAUAUUGGUCAAUGGCCUAACGGCUGAACUGGCAACUUGGAGAAGUGUUAAGUCUUUAUUUUUGUGCUAUAGCUAUUUUUAUAAUAGUGUGAAUUAAGCAAAAUUAAAGAUUAAAUUAGUAUUGAAUGAAACUUUGUUUAUAUAUCGAUAAUGACGAUAUAUAUAUUAUGUCUUGACCAAUUACGUGCCAGCAGUCGCGGUAAUACGUAAGAGACUAGUGUUAUUCAUCUUAAUUAGGUUUAAAGGGUACUCAAACGGUCGAUCAAAUGACUAGAGUUAUAUAGAAGAAGGUAGUACCUUAAGUGUAGAGAUUAUAUUUGGUUAUACUGGAGGGACUUAGAAAAGGCGUAGGCAACCUUCUAAGUAAUAACUGACGUUGAAGGACGAAGGCAUAGGUCACGAACAGGAUUAGAUACCCAAGUAGUCUUUGCAGUCAAUGAUGAAUGCCAUAGGUUAGAUAAAAAUUUAGUCUAUAAAUGAAAGUGUAAGCAUUUCACCUCAAGAGUAAUGUGGCAACGCAGGAACUGAAAUCACUAGACCGUUUCUGACACCAGUAGUGAAGUAUGUUGUUUAAUUCGAUGAUCCACGAAAAACCUUACCACAAUUUGUAUAUUUUACAGGAGUUGCACGGCUGUCUGCAGUUGAUGUUGUGAAACUGUGGUUUCCAUGAAUUAACACUAUCCCUUGCUUUAUUUUUGUAAGGCUAGUGCUUCUCACUAUUUUUUAAUAAAAAUAGCGAGCUAUAGCUUAGCCUAUUAAUUACUAUAAAGCAUUUGACUCAAGAAUAUGGGAAGAAAAAAGGGAGUAAGACAAGUCAUCAUGGCCUUAAUAUUGUGGGCUAUAGACGUGCCACAUAAGCCUAUACAAAGAGAUGCGAAAAUGUGAAUUCUAGCAAAUCUCCAAAAUAGGAAAUAAAAAGGAUUGUAGUCUGAAAUUCGACUAUAUGAAUAAGUAAUUACUAGUAAUCGUGAAUCACCAUGUCACGGUGAAUGUUUCUCGGAUUGGUACUAACCACUCGUCGCAUGCUGAAAGGAGUUUAUACAAUAAGUUUGCUCUUUUAUAGUAACAAAAUAAAAUAAUUAGAUUUUAUAAAUAUUAUUAUAGAAUUCUUCGUAUGUAUAGCUCUAAUUAGUGUU